rnacentral:rRNA from 1 species
AUUGAACGCUGGCGGCAGGCCUAACACAUGCAAGUCGAACGCGUGGCGGACGUGUGGGUUAUGUCUCUGCAGCUGCCUGAUGGAUGGGGAUAACUACUGGAAACUGUAGCUACUACCGCAUACCAUCAGCUGUGCCCAGAUGGGAGUAUCUUGUUGGUGGGGUAACGGCUCACCAAGGCGACGAUCCCUAGCUGGUAUGAGAGGAUGACCAGCCACACUGGAACUGAGAGACGGUCCAGACUCCUACGGGAGGCAGCAGUGGGGAAUAUUGCACAAUGGGGGCAAGCCUGAUGCAGCCAUGCCGCGGGUAUGAAGAAGGCCUUCGGGUUGUAAAGUACUUUCAGCUGGGAGGCGUUACCCGCAGAAGAAGCACCGGCUAACUCCGUGCCAGCAGCCGCGGUAAUUC